rnacentral:rRNA from 1 species
UACGUAGGGUGCAAGCGUUGUCCGGAAUUAUUGGGCGUAAAGCGUCCGCAGGCGGCUUUUUAAGUCUGUUGUCAAAGCCCACAGCUCAACUGUGGAUCGGCAAUGGAAACUGGGAAGCUAGAGUGUGGUAGGGGUAGAGGGAAUUCCCGGUGUAGCGGUGAAAUGCGUAGAUAUCGGGAAGAACACCCGUGGCGAAGGCGGCUCUCUGGGACGGUACUGACGCUGAGACGCGAAAGCGUGGGGAGCGAACAGG